rnacentral:tRNA from 1 species
GUGCUGCUGGUGAAGUGGUAUCAUGCAAGAUUCCCAUUCUUGAGACCUGGGUUCGAUUCCCAGGCAGUGCA